UAACACCGGCGGCCCGAGUGGUAGCCGUUUUUAUUGGGUCUAAAGGGUCCGUAGCCGGCUUGAUAAGUCUUUUGGGAAAUCUGGCAGCUUAACUGUCAGGCUUCUAAGGGAUACUGUCAGGCUUGGGACCGGAAGAGGUAAGGGGUACUCCAGGGGUAGGAGUGAAAUCUUGUAAUCCCUGGGGGACCAUCUGUGGCGAAGGCGCCUUACCAGAACGGGUCCGACGGUGAGGGACGAAAGCUAGGGGAGCAAACCGGAUUAGAUACCCGGGUAGUCCUAGCUGUAAACGAUGCUCGCUAGGUGUCAGACACGGUGCGACCGUGUUUGGUGCCGCAGGGAAGCCGUUAAGCGAGCCACCUGGGAAGUACGGUCGCAAGGCUG
rnacentral:rRNA from 1 species